GAUGAACGCUGGCGGCGUGCCUAAUACAUGCAAGUCGAGCGAACGGACGAGAAGCUUGCUUCUCUGAUGUUAGCGGCGGACGGGUGAGUAACACGUGGAUAACCUACCUAUAAGACUGGGAUAACUUCGGGAAACCGUAGCUAAUACCGGAUAAUAUUUUGAACCGCAUGGUUCAAAAGUGAAAGACGGUCUUGCUGUCACUUAUAGAUGGAUCCGCGCUGCAUUAGCUAGUUGGUAAGGUAACGGCUUACCAAGGCAACGAUGCAUAGCCGACCUGAGAGGGGGAUCGGCCCCACUGGAAACGGGACACGGGCCAAACUCCUAAGGGAGGCCACAGGAGGGAAUCUUCCGCAAUGGGCGAAAGCCUGACGGAGCAACGGCGCGGGAGGGAUGAAGGGCUUCGGAUCGUAAAACUCUGUUAUUAGGGAAGAACAUAUGUGGAAGUAACUGUUCACAGCUUGAAGGUACCUAAUCAGAAAGCCACGGCUUACUACCUG
rnacentral:rRNA from 1 species